UACGGGGGGGGCAAGCGUUGUUCGGAAUUACUGGGCGUAAAGGGCGCGUAGGCGGGUGCUCAAGUCCGGGGUGAAAUCCCACAGCUCAACUGUGGAAUUGCCUCGGAUACUGGGCGUCUCGAGGGUGGCAGGGGUAUGCGGAACUAUCGGUGGAGCGGUGAAAUGCGUUGAUAUCGAUAGGAACUCCGGUGGCGAAGGCGGCAUACUGGUCCACUUCUGACGCUGAGGCGCGAAAGCCAGGGGAGCGAACGGG
rnacentral:rRNA from 1 species